rnacentral:rRNA from 1 species
CGAACGGGUGAGUAACACGUGAGUAAUCUGCCUCUGGCUCUGGGAUAGCUCCGGGAAACCGGGAUUAAUACCGGAUAUGACCACUUCGGACAUCUGUUGUGGUGGAAAGUUUUUCGGCUGGAGAUGAGCUCGCGGCCUAUCAGCUUGUUGGUGGGGUAACGGCCUACCAAGGCGACGACGGGUAGCCGGCCUGAGAGGGCGACCGGCCACACUGGGACUGAGACACGGCCCAG